GACAGCGUGGCGAAAUGGCAUCGCGCUUGACUACGAAUCAAGAGAUUGCGGGUUCGAAUCCCGUCGCCGUCU
rnacentral:tRNA from 1 species